rnacentral:rRNA from 1 species
AAACUAAUUUAGUUUGGCGGCAUUUUAUCUAUUUAGAGGAAUUUGUCCUUUAAUCGAUAAUCCACGUUAAAUUUUACUUUAAUUUAAAACUUAUAUACCGCCAUCUCAAGAAUUAUUUCAAAAACAUUCUCUUAAUAAAUAAUAAAAAGUUAGGUCAAGGUGUAAUCUAUAUUAAAGAAUAAGAUGAAUUACAUUAAACAUUAUUUAAAGAUUACUAAUAAAUAUAUAAGUAUAAAUAAGAAUUUAAAAGCAAUAUACAAAUAAUAAUUUCAUAUGAUAAAGAUAAUAAAUGUGCACACAUCGCCC